rnacentral:rRNA from 1 species
CAGUAGCCGCGGGAACACGUAGGUGGCAAGCGUUGUCCGGAAUUAUUGGGCGUAAAGCGCGCGCAGGUGGUUUAAUAAGUCUGAUGUGAAAGCCCGCGGCUCAACCGUGGAGGGUCAUUGGAAACUGUUAAACUUGAGUGCAGGAGAGAAAAGUGGAAUUCCUAGUGUAGCGGUGAAAUGCGUAGAGAUUAGGAGGAACACCAGUGGCGAAGGCGGCUUUUUGGCCUGUAACUGACACUGAGGCGCGAAAGCGUGGGGAGCAAACAGGAUUAGAUACCCCCGUAGUCCCUGUCUCUUAUAC